rnacentral:rRNA from 1 species
GACGGAGGGUGCAAGCGUUGUUCGGAAUUACUGGGCGUAAAGGGCGCGUAGGCGGUCCUGUAAGUCCCGCGUGAAAUCCCCCGGCUCAACUGGGGAACUGCGCGGGAAACUGUGGGGCUUGAGUUCGGGAGAGGGAAGCGGAAUUCCGGGUGUAGCGGUGAAAUGCGUAGAUAUCCGGAGGAACACCGGUGGCGAGGGCGGCUUCCUGGACCGACACUGACGCUGAGGCGCGAAAGCUAGGGGAGCAAACGGG